rnacentral:piRNA from 1 species
UUAGACAGUGGAGUUGUCAUGUUCCUGUCU